rnacentral:rRNA from 1 species
UCAAAUCAGGUAGGACUACCCGCUGAACUUAAGCAUAUCAAUAAGCGGAGGAAAAGAAACUAACAAGGAUUCCCCUAGUAACGGCGAGUGAAGCGGGAAGAGCUCAAAUUUGUAAUCUGGCGGCCUCAGGCCGNCCGAGUUGUAGUCUGGAGAAGNGUCUUCCNGCUNACG